UACGUAGGGUGCGAGCGUUAAUCUGAAUUACUGGGCGUAAAGCGUGCGCAGGCGGUUUGCUAAGACAGGUGUGAAAUCCCCGGGCUUAACCUGGGAACUGCGCUUGUGACUGGCAGGCUAGAGUACGGUAGAGGGGGGUGGAAUUCCUGGUGUAGCAGUGAAAUGCGUAGAUAUCAGGAGGAACACCGAUGGCGAAGGCAGCCCCCUGGGCCUGUACUGACGCUCAUGCACGAAAGCGUGGGGAGCAAACAGGAUUAGAUA
rnacentral:rRNA from 1 species